GGGUUGUGAGGUUAAGCGACUAAGCGUACACGGUGGAUGCCCUGGCAGUCAGAGGCGAUGAAGGACGUGCUAAUCUGCGAAAAGCGUCGGUAAGGUGAUAUGAACCGUUACAGCCGGCGAUGUCCGAAUGGGGAAACCCAGUGCAAUUCGUUGCACUAUCGUUAACUGAAUACAUAGGUUAACGAGGCGAACCGGGGGAACUGAAACAUCUAAGUACCCCGAGGAAAAGAAAUCAACCGAGAUUCCCCCAGUAGCGGCGAGCGAACGGGGAGCAGCCCAGAGUCUGAAUCAGCUUGUGUGUUAGUGGAACGGUCUGGAAAGUCCGACGGUACAGGGUGAUAGUCCCGUACACCAAAAUGCACAGGUUGUGAACUCGAAGAGUAGGGCGGGACACGUGGUAUCCUGUCUGAAUAUGGGGACCAUCCUCCAAGGCUAAAUACUCCUGACUGACCGAUAGUGAACCAGUACCGUGAGGGAAAGGCGAAAAGAACCCCGGCGAGGGGAGUGAAAAGAACCUGAAACCGUGUACGUACAAGCAGUGGGAGCACCUUCGGGUGUGACUGCGUACCUUUGUAUAAUGGGUCAGCGACUUAUAUUCUGUAGCAAGGUUAACCGUAUAGGGAGCCGCAGGGAAACCGAGUCUUAACUGGGCGUUAAGUUGCAGGGUAUAGACCCGAAACCCGGUGAUCUAGCCAUGGGCAGGUUGAAGGUUGGGUAACACUAACUGGAGGACCGAACCGACUAAUGUUGAAAAAUUAGCGGAUGACUUGUGGCUGGGGUGAAAGGCCAAUCAAACCGGGAGAUAGCUGGUUCUCCCGAAAGCUAUUUAGGUAGCGCCUCGUGAACUCAUCUUCGGGGUAGAGCACUGUUUCGGCUAGGGGUCAUCCCGACUUACCAACCCGAUGCAAACUACGAAUACCGAAGAAUGUUAUCACGGGAGACACACGGCGGGUGCUAACGUCCGUCGUGAAGAGGAAACAACCCAGACCGCCAGCUAAGGUCCCAAAGUCAUGGUUAAGUGGGAAACGAUGUGGGAAGGCACAGACAGCGGGAUGUUGGCUUAGAAGCAGCCAUCAUUUAAAGAAAGCGUAAUAGCUCACUGGUCGAGUCGGCCUGCGCGGAAGAUGUAACGGGGCUAAACCAUGCACCGAAGCUGCGGCAGCGACACUAUGUGUUGUUGGGUAGGGAGCGUUCUGUAAGCCUGCGAAGGUGUGCUGUGAGGCAUGCUGGAGGUAUCAGAAGUGCGAAUGCUGACAUAAGUAACGAUAAAGCGGGUGAAAAGCCCGCUCGCCGGAAGACCAAGGGUUCCUGUCCAACGUUAAUCGGGGCAGGGUGAGUCGACCCCUAAGGCGAGGCCGAAAGGCGUAGUCGAUGGGAAACAGGUUAAUAUUCCUGUACUUGGUGUUACUGCGAAGGGGGGACGGAGAAGGCUAUGUUAGCCGGGCGACGGUUGUCCCGGUUUAAGCAUGUAGGCUGGUUAUCGAGGCAAAUCCGGAUAAUCAAGGCUGAGGUGUGAUGACGAGGCACUACGGUGCUGAAGUAACAAAUGCCCUGCUUCCAGGAAAAGCCUCUAAGCAUCAGGUAACAUCAAAUCGUACCCCAAACCGACACAGGUGGUCAGGUAGAGAAUACCAAGGCGCUUGAGAGAACUCGGGUGAAGGAACUAGGCAAAAUGGUGCCGUAACUUCGGGAGAAGGCACGCUGGUGUGUAGGUGAAGUCCCUGCGGAUGGAGCUGAGACCAGUCGAAGAUACCAGCUGGCUGCAACUGUUUAUUAAAACACAGCACUGUGCAAACACGAAAGUGGACGUAUACGGUGUGACGCCUGCCCGGUGCCGGAAGGUUAAUUGAUGGGGUUAUCCGUAAGGAGAAGCUCUUGAUCGAAGCCCCGGUAAACGGCGGCCGUAACUAUAACGGUCCUAAGGUAGCGAAAUUCCUUGUCGGGUAAGUUCCGACCUGCACGAAUGGCGUAAUGAUGGCGAGGCUGUCUCCACCCGAGACUCAGUGAAAUUGAACUCGCUGUGAAGAUGCAGUGUACCCGCGGCAAGACGGAAAGACCCCGUGAACCUUUACUAUAGCUUGACACUGAACAUUGAGCCUUGAUGUGUAGGAUAGGUGGGAGGCUUUGAAGCGUGGACGCCAGUCUGCGUGGAGCCAACCUUGAAAUACCACCCUUUAAUGUUUGAUGUUCUAACGUUGGCCCCUGACCGGGGUUGCGGACAGUGUCUGGUGGGUAGUUUGACUGGGGCGGUCUCCUCCCAAAGCGUAACGGAGGAGCACGAAGGUUAGCUAAUCCUGGUCGGACAUCAGGAGGUUAGUGCAAUGGCAUAAGCUAGCUUGACUGCGAGCGUGACGGCGCGAGCAGGUGAAAGCAGGUCAUAGUGAUCCGGUGGUUCUGAAUGGAAGGGCCAUCGCUCAACGGAUAAAAGGUACUCCGGGGAUAACAGGCUGAUACCGCCCAAGAGUUCAUAUCGACGGCGGUGUUUGGCACCUCGAUGUCGGCUCAUCACAUCCUGGGGCUGAAGUAGGUCCCAAGGGUAUGGCUGUUCGCCAUUUAAAGUGGUACGCGAGCUGGGUUUAGAACGUCGUGAGACAGUUCGGUCCCUAUCUGCCGUGGGCGCUGGAGAAUUGAGGGGGGCUGCUCCUAGUACGAGAGGACCGGAGUGGACGCAUCACUGGUGUUCGGGUUGUCAUGCCAAUGGCACUGCCCGGUAGCUAAAUGCGGAAGAGAUAAGUGCUGAAAGCAUCUAAGCACGAAACUUGCCCCGAGAUGAGUUCUCCCUGAGACUUUAAGUCUCCUGAAGGAACGUUAAAGACGAUGACGUUGAUAGGCCGGGUGUGUAAGCGCAGCGAUGCGUUGAGCUAACCGGUACUAAUGAACCGUGAGGCUUAACCUUACAACGCCGAAG
rnacentral:rRNA from 1 species